rnacentral:lncRNA from 1 species
CACCGACUUCGUUAUCGAGAAAAUGGUCGGAGAGGAUGAAAUUCCAACGUUCUUAGUGUUGAUUAUGCAUGAUGAUUAUGUGUUUUGUAUUGGUAGAUCCUUUUUAUCAUAAUGGUCUGGAUAGUGGGUCAUUCAUUUGUUAAUGUUUAUUUUGUGUUUCCAAUAUUUUUUAUUCUUUAUAUUUUAGCACCUCAUCAUUUCAAUCUUUUUUUUUUUGCCUUUUAUUCUGCAGUAUUUGCCCAUUAUUUUGUAUUCCGCAGGUAAACCCCAAUACAAUCUAGAAACUCGCUAGUACAACAUAUCAGUUGUAAAAAAUAUGAUAUGUCCAUUAUCA